AGUGCUAAAGCCUUUUCUAAUAUGACCAAUCAGACUUCACAAGAGUACCAAAUUUAGGGGAGCUGAUUUCUGAAAGAUUUACAAGGUUGCAGGAGAUUCACUCAUUUUUUCUGCUUCAAAGAAGCUGAUUCUGUUGAAUUUGAAAGGUUGUACAAGUCUUUCAACUCUUCCAGGCAAGAUCUUUAUGAAAUCUGAUUAAGACACUUGUUCUUUCUGGUUGCUUGAAGUUGAAGAAAUUUCCAGACAUUGUGCAAGUUCUUCCGGAUGGAACUGAUAUUAGAGAACUGUCAUUAGCAAUUGAACUUCUAUUUGGACUUGUUUAGUUGACUCUGAAUGGCUGCAAAAAUCUUGAGCAUCUUCCAAGGACCGUAAGAGCUCUGAAAUAUCUAUCAACUUUGAAUCUUUCCGGCCUUUUGAAAUUCAGAUAGUUUCCACAGAUAACUUCAAGCAGGGAUCAGCUCUUGGAGAUUCAUUUGGAAGGAACUGCUAUAAGAGGAUUGCCAGCAUCUAUUGAACUUCUUUCUGGCAAUGUUUUGUCGAAUUUGAAAGAUUGCAAGAAUCUCAAGAGUCUUCCAUGUAUGAUAAAUGGUUUGAGAUCUCUUAAAUUGUUGUAUCCCUCUGGUUGCUCCAAACUUAAAAAUGUGACAGAGACCUUGGGGAAAGUUGAAAUCUUGGAAGUAAGAUUGUCUUGUUAGAAUCAGGCGAAAAUGCAGAAUGACUUCAACUGUGUGGAACAGAGUGCAGUGGAGACAGUAACAAAGUUAGCAAAAGCAGAAUCGCUAAGGUACUUUACAAAAUUAAUAAUUUCCUUUAUAACAUGCAGUACCGUAUUACUUCUAUGUGCAUUGCUAUCAAUAUCUUCGACCGAAAGAUUCAGAUUCAUGGAAGAAGAAUGUUGAUAAGGGCAUCAAGCUAUCUACAACAGCAAUAUCAGCUUGCUCACUUGCCUGCCAUAGGCUGAUUCAAACCUCAAGAGCCAUGCCGAAGAGUUGAAUCAAAUAACAGCAAAUUCACAUCUUAGGUGGCCUUUUCUUCCAGCUUAGUCACUGCAUCAUUUUUUUUAUAGCAGGUUCGUUCUAUAAUAAUCUCAUAGGCACAUAUCAUGAACUUUGUUUUAUCAUGCUUGCAUACUUUGUUUACUUCUGCACAGUGAUAUACACAUUCACUAUCUCUAUUUUGCAUGACUACUAUAAAUUUAAGUAGAAAUUGAUUUUGGAAUAUGCUCUUAUCCUUUAUUAAUCAUAUAAAAAGUUCAUACGUGAGGGUAUACUAUUUACAGCUGUCUUGCGGAUGGAUUUAUAACCUUACUAAGUAAUAUUAUCAACAAUUUUUGGAUUUGCUGAUUUUAGAGCCUGGUCUUAGAAUCCAUAAUGCAUUGACAAAUACAGAAAUGAUCAAAUUGCUAGCCUCAGUAGUUGCUAUUUAUGUUAUUAUUGAAAGAUGAUUCAAAUUCUUUAUGUAUGUUAGUUUUUGUUUGGGCGGGAAAUUUAAGUUUUAUCUUAGUUGACUCUAUUGACCACCGCUUGUAUCAAAAAAAUCUGAAUACUGGUCGUACGAGUACUAUAUAGCAGACCCGAGGGCAUGCGAGGAGAGACCAAAAUCGA
rnacentral:lncRNA from 1 species